UUAUCCACCAGAAGUUACUGCUGGUUGUGUUGCCGUGACACUUGGAGGAGAUUGCAGUCUGUUUGCCAUCAAUUCAAAUUUUAUUCCCUAUGUCAGGCUGGCUGGCCUCCACCUCCCAGAAACAUCAUCCCACCCAGCUUCUCUUCUGCAUUGCCUCCUUUUGACAAUGUAAAUUCCCAAGGACCAGACACUGACCCUGCAGGGAAUAUCCUUCAGGGUUUCUCCUGCGGAAGACGGGACAGCGGACUGACUGGGAGAAGGAGUCGUCACCAAAAGUGCCAGCAGUUUGGGGUCAGAAAUCACCAGCCAGCCCUCACCAGACCAGCUCCUCCAAGUUACCUGAGACCUCAGAAUGUGUCUCUGUCUAGGUCACACUUCUGCAGCCCCCCUUACCCCAGCACAACAGCAGGAGCUAUGCAGUCAGCCUCACAGCAGUGAUUCAGAGUGAAGGAUGUGAUGUGAAGAACAUCUAUGGUGACACAAGGAAACUUGCAGUUGUCAUUAGGGACAGUGCACUUAAUGAGGAGUAACUCAUGGGAGGCAUCCCCCCAUCUGAUAUGCUACAGGUAAUGUCUCUUGGGUCCAGUAAAAAGAAUGAGGUUUGUCUGAUAUGGAGAAAAAUAACCUCCCUGGAGUUUUAACUAGAGAGAAGUUAUACUUGUAGAUUAACAGCUUUUAUGAGAGCCUGUCGUUGCCCUGUUACCUAUCCUGUGAUUUCAUGCAUUUUCAACUCAGACACUUAUAAGACUGGAAGGGGAACUCUUGCCAUUGCAUGUUAUCUUCUGGGUUGUAAAAAUACCAUGGAUUCCUGGUAUUUACAGAAAUUUUGAUUACAGAAGGAACUGAAAAGUUUCCAUGCAGGGAGAACCAUGCAGAGCUGACUGAGGAGCAUCCACAUCACACUCAUGCAGACAAGGACAGUGCUUGAGAAUAAUCUCUGUUCUCUGCAGAGCACAGGAGUGAAGCUUUGAAACUGGGACCCCAGGGAUGCCACCAUGCUCUCCUGCUCCAGGCACCACCAGGAGCUCUACUAUAUGACCAUACUGCAAAGUAGGUUGACCUUGGAUAAAUGGGUCCAGAAAAAAUCUUCCUUGUUUUACUAGAAUGGCUGUCUUUCAUGUGUCCUCUAGCUGCAGUUGGCUACUUUCCAGCAUUUAAGGACUCACUGCUGGACUCCAUGAAUAUAUAACAUUGCCUGUCUGUCCCUGUUUCUUUUGAAUUGCUGGAGGAAAAGUAAUCAGUCCUCUCUCAGCACUGAAACAAACAAGACCUCACUGUGGUUUGAUGCAAGUGCUUGUCCUCCCCUUCUGACUGCCGGAUGGGGAAGCUGUUAACCCUGUCCUCACUGGGACAAGGAAUUUGAUCAGCCUGAGCUGGCUAAGCAAUGUCUCAUUUGUUCCUAAAGGGUGCCAGAAAGUGUUCGAAAAUAGAACUAGAGUUUGCCCCUGAGGCCUUGAGUGUGAGCUGCUUGUUCAAAUCUUCAGUCUGAUGAUUUUAAGCUCACACAGCAUUUAAGUGAGCAGGUACCUCCUUCCUGGUCCAGCUUCCUGCUCAAAUCAAGGCUAAUGCGAAGCUACGUUGGGUGCUCAGGGCUGUGUCCAGGUGAAGUUUGAGUACCUCCCACACUGGAAGCCUUGCAGCCUCUCUGGUCCUCUAGUAGUAUCCUAGGGAAGAUUUUUUUUUCCUUAUGCUCAACUGGGACUUUUCUGUUUUCUGCAGCUCAUGUCACUUGUCUUAUGUCCUUUCACUGCUCACAUCUGGGAAGAGUCUGGACUUUUGCUCUGUUAUAACCCCCUUCUAGGCAGCUAGAAGCAGCAAGAGGAUCCCCUUCCUUCACCUUCUUUUCUCAAAACCAAGCAAGCCCCACUCCUUUAUUUUCCCUUCCCAUGUGCACAUAGAUGUGCACACUAGCAGUGAGCACAAGCUCUGCACAUCCUCCGUGGGGCUAUUUUGUAAACCACUGUCAGACCUUUACCUACAGCAAAUCCAUGGUCUGCCUGGCAUGCCAGCCCAUCACAGAGCACUUUCUUCAUCCGUAAGUAGCUAGGAGAUGUUAGAAGUUCCUUUGGAUAGUCUUAACAAGCAAUCAUACAAAGCUGUUAGCAGUCUGCCUGCAACUUAAGCCCACAUCUCCCUGCUUUAGGCAUAAGAAAAUACAAGGAUGCUCGUUUCUUCAGAGCUGAGCAUUAAAACUCAUUUUCCCUGCUGCUCAUCAAGACCAGAAAAUAGAAUCAUUAUGGUUGGAAAAGAC